rnacentral:lncRNA from 1 species
CUGCCCUUCCUAUCUCCUUGUCCGUCACCCUCACAACCAGCUGAACCCCGUCAUCAAACAACCAGCACUCGGGCAUCAACCGUUUGAAUCUCCACCUUCACGACCUCUGUUGUUGUCCCCGUCGUAAAGCAGCCUCCAGGCCAGUCAUUUGCUCAACGGCAAUUAUGCUCACCUGAGCUGCCCGCUUGCUUCACCUCACGUCCAAACACACUAACCAAACAACCCUCCGUCCAUUUUCUUCUUAAGCUCCAUGAACGAGCUAACCCACGGACUACCCUCAUCCAACCAGCUCGACGCCACAGGUCAGCCACUCCACUGCUCCGCUCGUCCAAUGACUCCACUGCUCCGUCCCCCAACCAGCCAUCGCCUUUGUCACCCGGUUCGUGGUCGUCUUCGUCGUCUAAUUUUGUCGCUUUAAAUCAAUCAUAAAAUAUACACAUUUUCCGGGCCAGUUCUAGUUUAUUUUGGUUUUAAAGUUUUCGGGCAGAUUUGUUUCCAUUCGAGUUCGUCAUUGUUUCGAUCCGGUUAGUUGGUUUAAAUUUCAUUUUGGAUCUAAAAUCAGUAUAUAUUUGAUUAUUUUCUUGUUCUUUGUUUAUAAUUUCUUGAUUAUUUCUUCAGUUUGUUUUAGUCAUUUGUUCUUGUUUAGUUUUAAUAUGGAAAUAGUUUAGUGUAAUCACUUGAAUCCUUGAUCUUGAUUUUGAUAUUGUUAGAUUUAAAUUUGGAGUUCGAUUGAUGAUUUAAUUUUUUGUAAUUUGAAUCUACUAAUUGUCUGUAAGUUUAUCAUUAAAUGUGAAUCUGAUUUUGUUUGAAGUAAUUCUUAAAUAUUGUUGAUUAGGAGUUUGUUCAUGAGGUUAAUUGUUGAUUUUGAUUAAGAAUUUGUUAUAGUUGCUAUUUUUUGGUUAAUUGAUUUAGAUGAAUUGGCUAUAGCUGACGAUGGUAUAAUGGUAAUUUUAGUAGUUUGAGGGGAUAUUAUUGGAAUUGAAAAAUAAAGAAUUGUUUAAAAAUAUAGUGGAGAAGAUAAUUAUGUAAAGUAAAAAGAAGGGACAAGACAUAUGGGGAGCAUAAUGAUUAAGUAAAAAGAGAGUGGAUUGUGGGAUCCACGUUUAACUGCUUUUGUUGAUUGAGAAUUAAAAAUAGUAGGGUAAUAAUAAAAGGGAUGGUAAUAAUAGUAAAAGGGUAGAAGAUAAUAGAGUCCUGCUUGGGAUAAAUAGGGGUCAUUUUAACACUUAAAAGGGACAGAAUUUUGGAGAGAAAAAAUUUCAGAACUUAAGAGUAAAAGGGAGGUCUUUUCCUUACCACUGAAUAUCAGAACUAGUACUGUUACUACUUCACUGGUUAUUGCUUGAUUUUCUGCUUGGUUUUUAAAUCUAUUCCUGGGGUCUUUCCGUAUUGUUUGUUGCUGGUUUACUGCUUUGGUUGUUGAACCUGUUGUUGCUGUGUUGUGCUACUGCUGCACUACUGACUUCUUCCUCUUCUUUGCUUUCUAAAUACCAGGUAUACGACUGUAACUUUGGCUGUUGUAAGCUGAAAAAUUUAGAAGCAUGAAUACAUAUAAAAAUGGAAGUUUGAAGUUUUGACUUAACUUUUCUUCUUUACAUGAUUUUAUUUUAGAACAUUUCUUAUACUACUGUUAUGAAGAUUUCUGCCAGCUUUGUAUAGCUGGACUGUAUUCAGUUUGAUUUGGAUUAAUUGAAGUUAUAAUUAUAAUGAACUAUUUGGAUGUAGUUACCAGCUGUAGUAAUAUUCGCUUGUAGAAUAAGGCACGAAACAAUUCUCCAUUUUUACGAGCACGAGUGCAAUUUUCGUUCGCCUUAAUCUAAUAAUUAAUAAGAGGCCCGAACUUGUCAAGCAUGUAAAUUAAUUAGGAUUUUUUAAAUAUUUUAUUCUAGAGACAAACAAAAAAUAAAAAUGUAUUCACUUUAGAAAUUAAUUUCAAUAGUAUUUAUAUAAGAAUGUGAGUUUUAAUCAAGCUAUAAUAAUUGCUUUUAAAUAUUAGUUGUCGAAUUUUUCUUUAGUUUAUUUAUAGUUUCGAAUUUUUAAAUUUUAUUUAUAAUUUCGAAUUUAUUUUUUUUAUUUUUCUUUCCACUAAUAUUUGCCUUAAUCUAGCCAUUAGUGUGUUACGUUUUUAUUUUACUUUUAAGCUCGUAAUUUAUUGGGAUUUGUUUCUUUAUUUUGGAAACGAAUAUAAAUGAAAAUGUAGUCACUUUAGGAUAUCGAAUUUUUCUUUCUUUAUUUUAGAGACGAAUUUAAAUAGAAAUGUAGUCACUUUAGAUAUCCUUAAAAUAAAGGGGGCGUGCCUCGCCAGAGCAAAUUACAAAUGCGGGGCCCUCAAUAAAAGGAUAUAACAAUUAGAUAGAUUUCGGAGUUGGUCUCUUAGCGAAUUUUCGCGGCCUUUUCGAAAAAUAACGACAUGUUAGUAUCUUUAGGACGUGCCUCAAUUAAUCAUACAUUCCUAAUCUCGGGUGUGCAUUUAUGCGACCCAAAUUCAAUUCUCGACAGAGUCGAAAUGUGUCGACGACCGCGGGUACACUGUCUGUGACGUGGUCCGAGAUAUGUUUUCACAAUGUUGCAAUUCUCUGUAAAAUAAUAACAAUAAUAAUAAUGAUAAAAGCGGUUUAAAGUUAAAAUUUUCUUUUAAGAUCCUAAUUGUAAAAAUCAGAUAAUUAAGCCGAAUAUGACAGUUGAGCGACUGUGCUAGAACUACAAAACUCGGGAAUGCCUAACACCUUCUCCCGAAUUAACAGAAUUCCUUAUCCGAAUUUCUGGUGGGCGGACUGUUAAACAGAGUCAUUCUUUUCCUUGAUUCGGGAUUUAAUCGGUGACUUGGGACACCAUUAAUUUCCCAAGUGGCGACUCUGAAUCUUUAAUAAAUAAUCAUGUUUCGAUUGUUCUUUAAUUGAGAAAACUCCCUUGCGCCCUCGCGGUGCCGGAAAAAGCAGGUGUGACACUAUACGCCUUCAAAUAGGAUAUACUUGGCUCUAUCCUCCCUCAAAUAGGAUAUACUUGGCUCUAUCCACCCUCAAAUAGGAUAUACUUGGUUCUAUCCGCCCUCGAAUAGGAUAUAAUUGGUUCUAUCCGCCCUCGAAUAGGAUAUACUGGGUUCUAUCCGCCCUCUAAUAGGAUAUACUUGGCUCUAUCCGCCCUCAAAUAGGAUAUACUUGGUUCUAUCCGCCCUCGAAUAAGAUAUACUUGGUUCUAUCCGCACUUGAAUAGGAUAUACUUGGUUCUAUCCGCCCUCGAAUAGGAUAUACUUGGUUUUAUCCGCCCUCAAAUAGGAUAUACUUGGUUCUAUCCGCCCUCAAAUAGGAUAUACUGGGUUUUAUCCGCCCUCAAAUAGGAUAUACUCGGUCUAUCUGCCCUCAAAUAGGAUAUAAUUGGUUUUGUCUGCCCUCAAAUAGGAUAUACUUGGUUCUGUCCGCCCUUAAAUAGGAUAUACUUGGUUCUAUCUGCCCUCAAAUAGGAUAUACUUGGUUCUGUCCGCCCUGAAAUAGGAUAUACUUGGUUCUAUCCGCCCCCAAAUAGGAUAUACUUGGCUCUAUCUGCCCUAAAAUGAGAUAUACUUGGUUCUAUCCGCCCUCGAAUAGGAUAUGUUGGGUCUAUCUGCUCUCAAAUAGGAUAUGAUGGGUCUAUCCGUAUGACGACCCGACCCGUCGUCUCAUGUGUUUCCAUCCCAUUAUCCUUGUAUUAUGCUUCUUCAUGUGUUAGUAUAUGUGUUUGGUGAGUUUGAAGUGUUUCGGAUUGAAUUUGUAUAGAAAUGAGACAAAUAGCCUCUUUAAUGAAAACUUAAGUUGAAAAAGUCAACUGGAUGUUGACUUGUAAGUUAGAGGGAUCGGAACGGAUUUCCGAUGAUUCGACUAGUUUUGGAUGGUGAUUUAUGACUUGGGAGCGAAAUCGAAAUUUUAUUUGGAGGUCCGGUGUAGAAUUAGGUUUGAAUUGGCUAAGUUGAAUUUCGGCGGAUUACGUUGAUAGGUGAGAUUUUUAUUAGGGGGUUGGAAUGGAAUUCCGAGACUUGCAGUAACUUUGUUAGGUAAUUUUUGUUGUGUGUGAAAAUUUUCAGAUCAUUCGGAGGAGUUUAGGUCGGGUUUUGGAUCGAAUGCAAAUUUGGAAAAGUUAUAGUUUGACUUAGGCUUGAAUUUGAGGAAUUUGGUGAUUUUUGUGUUUAGGAUCGUGUUUUUAUGGUUGGAACGAGUUCGUAUGAUGUUUUGGAGCAGGUUGGUAUUCUUGGUUGGGGUCCCGGGGGACUCGGGGUGAUUUCGGAGGUUCAACGGAUCAUUUUCGGGUUGGCUAGGGAUCAGAUUUUUUUUUGCUGUCAUAAAUAUUGCAAACGUUUUUUCUAUGCGAUCGCAGGAGUGCUGCUGCGAUCGCGUAGAAGGUUUGGGGAAUCUUGGAAAUUUGUUCAAGCGAUCGCAGUCUGGGGCAUGCGAUCGCAUAGGUUGAGGAAUGCUGGUCUCAGCGAUCGCAGAGGGAAGUGUGCGAUCGCGUAGGGUUAUUUCACCUGGUUCUUUGGCGGAGGAAUUAUUCUAUGCGAACGCGUGGGGUGUGAUGCGAACUCGUAGGUUGAUAUUGGGAGCCUACGCGAUUGCAAGGGCUAGAGUGCGAUCGCGUAAUAAGAGGAUUUUGAGAAGCUCUGAGUUUGUUCUUUGCGAUCGCAAGCCAAAGGCUACGAUCGCAUAAAGGAAGAUCACUUGGCAGAGAGUUUUAAGUUAAACAUUUCAUCCGCGACUUGGUUCAUAUUCCCUCCAUUUUGCUCCACCUUGAGAGCUUGUUGACGGAUUUUGAAGGGGAUUUCAACGAGAAGAGAUUAGAGGUAAGUCUCGUGGUCUAAAUACGUCAUUUUAUUGAAGAAUCAACCAAUAAUUCUCUGAAAUUGGGUGUAAAAGUUGAUGAACUAGGGCUUGAAAUUUCAAAUGAAAAUUGGGGAUUUGGAGGAGAAAUUGGACUCCGAUUUUGAUGAGUUUUAUAUGUAUGGACUCGUGGUGAGACGAGGACUUUGAAAAUGUGAAUUUCGUAAUUUUUCGAGAAGUGGGUCCGGGGCUCGGGUUUAACCAACUUCGUGAUUUUGGGUGUAUUUCGAGUUAUUUCGAUUGGGUUGUGUUCCAUUAGCCUAUUUGACGUAUUACUAUUGGUUUUGAUCAGAUUUCGAAUCUGCGGAGGUUGAUUCUCGAGGGAUAGGUAUUGUGAGCUAGUUUGCAGCCGGGUUGAGGUGAGUAAUGGGUGUAGAUGAUGACCUGAGGGUUUGAAACCCCCGUAUAUCACAUUGUGAUGCUAUUAUGAGGCUAGACACGCACUCCAUGGCUAGUGAGGGGUCUUAUAUAUUGGAAAUUGUGACUCUGUCCAAUCCGAGGAAUAGAUUGUACUAUGUUGGUGAUUGCUUCGCAUACUAUAUUGAUGAUAUCUGGGCUUGAUGCCAUGUAGGGGGCCUUAUGCCGACUUGUGGAAUCCUUCAGGGAUCGUUAUCUUAGAAUUACCAUGAUUUUCAUAUUAUUUGAAUUCAGUCCAGGUUUAAACAUUAUUUAUGCAAACUCAGCCAUAUUUUUACGUUUUGAAAACUCAAAUGAUUCUUAAAUGAUAAUUCGGGUUGAUGAUUACUAUCUCACUAUUUCUGGACUGUAUAUUAUUUCAAAUGGAAACGGUGGUAACUAUUGGCACCGUGUAUUUUUAAAUGGAAACGGUGCUAACUAUUGGCACCGUGUAUUUAAAUGGAGACGGUGGUAACUAUGGGCACCGUGUAUUAUAAAUGGAAAUGGUGGUAACUAUUGGCACCGUGUAUUGUAAUGGAAACAGUGGUUACUAUUGGCACUGUAUGACAUGACGCUUGGGCUGUAGGAGCCCCUCCGGAGUCUAAACUCCCACAGUGAGCGCGGGUACCCAUAUGGAUCGGGUUGCACGUUCCGCAGUGUUCAUGCAUUGCGUAAAAGCCCCUCCGGAUUCUAAACCCCACAGUGAGCGCGGGUACCCAAAUGGAUCAGACUGCACUUUCUGCAGUGUUCAUGCAUUGCAUUGGUCUCAUGCAUUUAUUUACUGUUGCUUUAUCUGUAUAUCUCUGAGGUUUGUACUAUAUAGAACUGCUAGAUAUCUUCAUUUUGUGUUAUUUCGUAUUUUCUUAUCUUCGGGUUUUUAUACAUGCUUAUUACUCGCUGAGUUGGUAGACUCACCCCGUACUCUCUACACCUUGUGUGCAGAUCCAUGUGCUCUAGAGACCUAGUGUUGCUGCUGUUGAUUUCCCGAGCUAUUCAGAGUAGUGAGGCAGCUGCCCAGCGUCCGCAGGACCACUUACUCGGUCUCUAUCAGUCAUGUUCUUUUUGCUAUUUUGUCAGACUUUGUAUCAUUUCCGUUCAGACUUGUAUCAUGUUUUUGUUAAGACUAUGUACUCGUGACUCCUCGGUUUUGGGAGGAUAAUUAUUCUUGUCAGCUGUGUUUUUAGUGGUAUUACCUAACCCUGGUUGGGAGUAUGACAUUAAAUUCGCU